UAAAAAGUGCUACACCUACAAAGUAGGAUUUAUAUACUUUAAAUAGUUGUAAUCUACCUUAUUUUAUUGGUUUUAUAUUAAAAAGUAUCAAAAUACUUGCUCUUGACUUAAAAUAUAGAAGUGUUUAUAUAACUAUAUAUUUUGAAUAAAACCAAUGCAAUUUAUUUAGGUUGUUAUUUGAAUGUGGUUGUCGUGUCCAAUAAAUGUUAUAAAAGUGAUUUUACAUAGACAAUUUUUUUGAGCAGCAGUCAAUGUGGCAGCUGCUUUCAUCAAACACAAUUAUUUUGCAUUUUGUAUAAGUUGCUGGCAUCCCUUUUCAUUGGCUCGGACUUUCACGGGCAGAUGCAGUAUCUUCCUCGACCUCGAUCGGCUCUUCAACAGUUUGUUCGCGGCAGCAGAUCUGAACUUGACUGUUUAACACGAUACCCAAGAGCUACCUGGGGUCUACAAACUUCACAUCCAGAAGGCAGAUACGAUCAUCACAGAGUGUGCACUGCUCCUAAAUGGUCUCUUUACACACAAAAGGUCUGCUAAAAAUGUUUAAGAAAGCAUUUGAGAUGCUGGUGAUAGUGUGACAUCUUGUAGUACAGUGUGGAUUUAUCUGCCUCUGUGGACAAAAGGAGAGAAGUGGUCCUGAGAUGCCUGAUUGAGUACAUGGGGGAGAGACAGGAAUACCUCAUCAGUGUCUACCAUAAUCGUGCUGAAACAGAGGUGCACGCUGAGCUUUGCAGUUCCCCAAUGAUCAUUUACAUGUGCCAUCAUCCCGACACAACUGGUAUUAUCAUCGAAGGACAGCCCGUGGUCAGAGGUUUGCCAAACCUGUCAAAAGCAUGUUGCCUCCUGUUUGGACUUGCCUAUGCUGUCGACCUCAAGUAUCCAUCAAAACUGGUGUAUGGUUUUGAGAUAUAUCAGAGGCUUUUUGUUGGAUUGGACCCCAUGCGUCCUAAGCCAUCAUCCAAGUACGGAAAUCUCCUCAACAAGUUGUCUUAGAUGAUUUCUCAAUGGAAUCUGGCUGACUUUUUUUCGCUGACUUUUUGGGACUUGGGCUUAUUCACCGUAUCCCCCAGAGUUAGAUAAGUCCAUUCAUACCCUUCUCAUCUCCAUGCGUGCCGUAACUCUGUCUGACGCACUCACCGCUAGCCUAGCUUAGCACAAAGAUCGGAGGUAAACCGCUCCAGCUGGCAUACUGAUCUUGCCAACACAUACCAACAUUGGCGUUAUUUUGUCACUUAUUGAGAUCAGUAUGCUAGCUGGAGCGGUUUACCUCCGAUCUUUGUGCUAAGCUAGGCUAGCAGUGGAUGUGUCAGACAGCGUUACGGCACGCAUGGAGAUGAGAAAGGUAUGAAUGGACUUAUCUAACUCUGAGGGAUACGGUGAAUAAGCUAAAGUCCCAAAAAGUUGCCGUGUUCCUUUAAGACUCCUUGAAGAAGUUGCUGAAGGUAAUAUGUGUUCAUUGUUCAUUGUCUUAAUUAAUGUGGACUUUGGACUGUGUUCUGUGCCAAUCAUUACCUCACGAGGUAUAAGUGUCUUUAAAUAAAUGUUAUUGUCUUCAA